CAAGGAUUCCCUUAGUAAUGGCGAAUGAAUUGGGAAUAGCUCAAAUUUAAAAUUGUAUUUUAUACAAAUUGUAAUUUAUAGAAGUUAAAUUAAGUUUUAAAAUUAAUUAAAGUUGGCUGGAAAGCUACUACAGAGAAGGUGAUAUACCUGUAACUGAUUAAAUUUUAAAAUUAAAUAUUUUUCUUCAAAGAGUCAGGUUGCUUGGGACUGCAGCCUAAAAUGGGAGGUAAAUUUCUUCUAAAGCUAAAUAUUGGCAAGAGACCGAUAGCGAACAAGUACUGUGAAGGAAAGAUGAAAUAGAACCUUGAAAAGGGGUUUAAAAGGAAGUGAAAUUGUUAAAAGGGAAACGUUUAAAUGGGGUAAAAAUUAAAAUUGAUAAAAUUUAUUUUUAAAUUUUAAUCAAAUUUAAUUAUGGUCAAUAUAAAUUUUUAAUAAUAUAAAAGAAUAUUAUAAACGUACAUUGAUUUUUAAUUAAUGACUUAUAGUAUAAUAUUUUAAUAUUUUUAAAGAUUUAAAUAAAUUUUUUAAAAUAAAUUUAUAAUUAUUUAUUAAAAGUUUACUUUUUUAUAAAUAAUUUUAUAAGUUUUAAAUUAAAAGAAAUUAUUAUUAGAUCUUAACCUUUUUAAACGACCCGUCUUGAAACACGGACCAAGGAGUCUAACAUUUGAUGCAAGUAAAUAGGAAGAUAAACCUAUAUGCGAAAUGAAAGUGAAUUCAAGGUAGGAUCUUAAAUUUAUUUUUGAGCACUAUCAACCGAUCUAUUUGGAUUUUUUCAAUAGAAUUGAGUUAGAGCGCAAAUGUUGGGACCCGAAAGAUGGUGAACUAUGCCUGAAUAGGGUGAAGCCAGAGGAAACUCUGGUGGAGGCUCGUAGCGAUUCUGACGUGCAAAUCGAUCGUCAAAUUUGGGUAUAGGGGCGAAAGACUAAUCG
rnacentral:rRNA from 2 species